rnacentral:rRNA from 1 species
UACGUAGGGUGCAGGCGUUAAUCGGAAUUACUGGGCGUAAAGCGUGCGCAGGCGGUUUGCUAAGAGAGAUGUGAAAUCCCCGGGCUCAACCCGGGAACUGCGUCCGAUACUGGCAGGCUUGAAUCCGGGAGAGGGAUGCGGAAUUCCAGGUGUAGCGGUGAAAUGCGUAGAUAUCUGGAGGAACACCGGUGGCGAAGGCGGCAUCCUGGACCGGCAUUGACGCUGAGGCGCGAAAGCCAGGGGAGCAAACGGG